rnacentral:lncRNA from 1 species
AGAUUAAAUGUCCAGCAAACGACGGCAAUGUUGCCAGAUUCCUUUUAGCGGGAAUUUUAAAAUUUUAUAAGAGUUUGGUUUUAAAUUUGACAGUUCUGUUUUCUCAAGUCAAAAAUCUUAACCUUACUUUUACAAGUGAUUAGGAUUAUUAUUAUUAUUAUUAUUUUAUUUACAUGUAAAUUGAAACAAUAAAUAUUGUGGCUGUGUCAUAAUUUCAAACUCAUUAUGUUGCAGUCUUUUCCAGUUGAUAGAAUUGCAAUUCAAAAACUUUUAGAUUUGCACUGUAUGGAUGGCACAGGAAGAGAAACAAGAGUACAAGAACAUGAAACAUCCUAUUAUAAAUGUAUAUGUAUGUGAUCCUCAAAAAAUUAUUUUACAAAACAAGAUAGAGAAAGAGCUUUAAAA